GCAUGAUCUUGGCUCACUGAAACCUCUGUCUCCCGGGUUCAACCGAUUCUCCUGCCUCAGCCUCCCAAGUAGCUGGGAUUAUAGGCACCCACCACCAUGCCUGGCUAAUUUUUGUAUUUUUAAUAGAGACGGGGGCUUCACCGUGUUGGCCAGGCUUGUCUUGACCUCCUGACCUCAGGUGAUCCACCCAACUUAGCCUCCCAAAGUGCUGGGAUUACAGGCAUGAGCCACCGCUCCCGGCCUCUUGCACUGAAGUCCAAAGGCCAGAAGAACCCGGAGGCUUUCGGCGUUUCCGCCUUUGCCUUCCGAUGUCCAUUCCCAUCUGAGCAGUCAUUUCUGCUUAAUUCCGCCAUUACUUCCUCCCUUGAUGCUUCUGAAACUGUCUCCUCAGCAGAUGAUCCCUGCAUUAGUUGGCGGAGCUGAUGGUGUUCCCUGUUUUACCCUGUGGUCUCAUUUCCGGAUGCUGCUACCAAUGCCCGUCUCUAUGGCUCCCUGCCCACGUGUGCAGCCCCGUCACUGAGAGGGAAGUGGCUGGAGAGGUGUCCAGAUCAUUGUGAAUGAAGUCAUCUGUGAAACCAUGGGAGAGAGAUUUGAUAUCUGCUUCCCUUUCAAAUGAAAGGAAAAGAGUGGGGUGAGAGAGGGCGGCACUCCCCAGACAGGCCCUGACCACACCCUGGCCCCACGCCUCAGCAGAACAACUCUGAACCUCUAUGGACUCACAGGGGCGAGGUCGGGGCAAGGAGACUCAGGGCCUGCGCUGCUCACCGGGUGAGAAGUCACAGCUGGUUAGGAGGCCACAGGUAAGCAGAGGUGCGAGCCACCAGGGACGGGGUGAGUUAUUCACAGGUGAAUGAGCUAGGACGAGGCAACAGCACGCAGGCCACGCCUCGCCAACCCAUGGGUCCUCAACAGGAUUUUGGUGACACGCAACACCCCUCUGGCUCCUGCUCUGAUCCAUGAUGGUGAGGGAGGUUCCCACGGUCACGCGUGUGCUGGGAUUCUGCUCUUUACGCCGUCCCCGGGCAACACAGACAUCAGCUCUUCUCUCCUCCAGCUGAGCAAAUACGGCAAUGUCGCUGAUGGCGAGAUUCCGGGCCAUCCAUUUAUCCUGUGUGGAGGCUGACAGGGACGCAUGCCUCAUCUGCUGCCAAGACACUGGGUUCCCUUGAGGGGACUCUGUCGACAUAACUCACCCUGUCCCGGGUGGCUCGCACCUCUGCUUACCUGUGGCCUCCUAACCAGCUGUGACUUCUCACCUGAUGACUUGGAAUCCUGGCCUUUUAGGAUAGAAAGAGAACACAGAGAUCCCGGCCCAUCAAGCAGGCCCCAGAAACAUGGGCAGCAGCAGGAGAGUGCCCAAGCUCCUGGCAGGGUGGGUCCAACCCUGUGUCGUGCCCCUGAUUCAGGCGUUGAAGCCUCAACUCCAGAUGCUGGCAUGAGGAGGUGGUUCCUGGGGAGGUGAUUUGGGUUAGAUGGGGUCCUGAGGGUGAGGCCCUCACGAUUAGAAGAGAAAGAGACCGGGCUCUUGCUCUCUGCCACACGAGGACACAGAAAGCGCCAUCUACAAGCCAGGAAGGGGCCUUCAUGGCAAUCCUAGUGGGCUGGAUCUUGGUCUUUGGUUUCCAGCCUUGAGAACUGAGAAAUAAAC
rnacentral:lncRNA from 1 species